GACGAACGCUGGCGGCGUGCCUAAUACAUGCAAGUCGAGCGGAAGUUGAAGAGCUUGCUCUUCAACUUUAGCGGCGGACGGGUGAGUAACACGUGGGCAACCUGCCCUGCAGAUCGGGAUAACUCCGGGAAACCGGUGCUAAUACCGAAUAGUUUUCGCCACCUCCUGGUGGCGUACGGAAAGACGGUUUCGGCUGUCACUGCAGGAUGGGCCCGCGGCGCAUUAGCUAGUUGGUGGGGUAACGGCCCACCAAGGCAACGAUGCGUAGCCGACCUGAGAGGGUGAUCGGCCACACUGGGACUGAGACACGGCCCAGACUCCUACGGGAGGCAGCAGCAGGGAAUCUUCCGCAAUGGACGAAAGUCUGACGGAGCAACGCCGCGUGAGUGACGAAGGAUUUCGGAUCGUAAAACUCUGUUGUGAGGGAAGAACAAGUACCACUUAACUACUGGUACCUUGACGGUACCUCACCAGAAAGCCACGGCUAACUACGUGCCAGCCGCCGCCGUAACAC
rnacentral:rRNA from 1 species